rnacentral:rRNA from 1 species
AGCGGCGGACGGGUGAGUAAUGCCUAGGAAUCUGCCUGGUAGUGGGGGACAACAGUUGGAAACGACUGCUAAUACCGCAUACGUCCUACGGGAGAAAGCAGGGGACCUUCGGGCCUUGCGCUAUCAGAUGAGCCUAGGUCGGAUUAGCUAGUUGGUGAGGUAAAGGCUCACCAAGGCGACGAUCCGUAACUGGUCUGAGAGGAUGAUCAGUCACACUGGAACUGAGACACGGUCCAGACUCCUACGGGAGGCAGCAGUGGGGAAUAUUGGACAAUGGGCGAAAGCCUGAUCCAGCCAUGCCGCGUGUGUGAAGAAGGUCUUCGGAUUGUAAAGCACUUUAAGUUGGGAGGAAGGGCAGUAAGUUAAUGCCUUGCUGUUUUGACGUUACCGACAGAAUAAGCACCGGCUAACUUCGUGCCAGCAGCCGCGGUAAUACGAAGGGUGCAAGCGUUAAUCGGAAUUACUGGGCGUAAAGCGCGCGUAGGUGGUUUUGUAAGUUGGAGGUGAAAUCCCCGGGCUCAACCUGGGAACUGCCUCCAAAACUGCAUGACUAGAGUACGGUAGAGGGUAGUGGAAUUUCCUGUGUAGCGGUGAAAUGCGUAGAUAUAGGAAGGAACACCAGUGGCGAAGGCGACUACCUGGACUGAUACUGACACUGAGGUGCGAAAGCGUGGGGAGCAAACAGGAUUAGAUACCCUGGUAGUCCACGCC